rnacentral:rRNA from 1 species
UGAACGCUAGCGGCAGGCUUAACACAUGCAAGUCGAACGGUAACAUUUCCAGCUUGCUGGAAGAUGACGAGUGGCGAACGGGUGCGUAACGCGUAUGCAACUUACCUCUGACCAGGGCAUAGCCCCGUGAAAACGGGAAUAAUACCCUAUAGUACCACGAAAUGACAUCUUUUUGUGGUUAAAGAUUUAUCGGUUAGAGAUGGGCAUGCGUCCCAUUAGAUUGUUGGUGAGGUAACGGCUCACCAAGUCUACGAUGGGUAGGGGGCCUGAGAGGGUUAUCCCCCACACUGGUACUGAGACACGGACCAGACUCCUACGGGAGGCAGCAGUGAGGAAUAUUGGUCAAUGGACGAAAGUCUGAACCAGCCAUGCCGCGUGCAGGAAGAAUGCCCUAUGGGUUGUAAACUGCUUUUAUAUAGGAAGAAACCCCUGAACGUGUUCUGGGCUGACGGUACUAUAUGAAUAAGCACCGGCUAACUCC